UCUGUAAGAGUGAAGUUUUAACUAUCAAUGAUGAGGAUAACUAGGCUAGUAAGUAUGCUGAAAUUUUUAACUGUCAAAUUGGAACAUUUCCUAUCAAAUAUCUUGGAGUACCAGUUAGCCCAAGUCGGUUACAUUUGAUUGAUUGGAUGCCAUUAGUGGAAAAAAAUAGUAAAAAACUUGAUAUUUAGAAAGGAGGCUUAAUGUCCAUUGCUGGG
rnacentral:lncRNA from 1 species